UACAGAGGUCCCAAGCGUUGUUCGGAUUCACUGGGCGUAAAGGGUGCGUAGGUGGUGGGGUAAGUCGGAUGUGAAAGCUCGGAGCUCAACUCCGAAAUGGCAUUGGAAACUACCCUGCUAGAGGAUUGGAGGGGGGACUGGAAUACUUGGUGUAGCAGUGAAAUGCGUAGAUACCAAGUGGAACACCAGUGGCGAAGGCGAGUCCCUGGACAAUAACUGACACUGAGGCACGAAAGCGAGGGGAGCAAACAGG
rnacentral:rRNA from 1 species